rnacentral:rRNA from 1 species
UACAGAGGUCUCAAGCGUUGUUCGGAUUCAUUGGGCGUAAAGGGUGCGUAGGUGGCGCGGUAAGUCGGGUGUGAAAUUUCGGAGCUUAACUCCGAAACUGCAUUCGAUACUGCCGUGCUUGAGGACUGGAGAGGAGACUGGAAUCUACGGUGUAGCAGUGAAAUGCGUAGAGAUCGUAAGGAAGACCAGUGGCGAAGGCGGGUCUCUGGACAGUUCCUGACACUGAGGCACGAAGGCCAGGGGAGCAAACGGG